rnacentral:sRNA from 1 species
GGCUCCACGUGUUCCCCACGUUUGUGGCGUACGAGCUCACGGUGCUGGUGUUCCUCACCUUGUCAGUGGUGGUGAUGAAGUUUCUCCUGGCGGCGCUAGUCCUGUCUCUCAUUCUGCCGAGGAGCAGCCAGUACAUCAAGUGGAUCGUCUCUGCGGGGCUUGCCCAGGUCAGCGAGUUUUCCUUUGUCCUGGGGAGCCGGGCGCGAAGAGCGGGCGUCAUCUCUCGGGAGGUGUACCUCCUUAUACUGAGUGUGACCACGCUCAGCCUCUUGCUCGCCCCGGUGCUGUGGAGAGCUGCAAUCUCAAGGUGUGUGCCCAGACCAGAGAGACGGUCCAGCCUCUGACAGCACAGAGAUGAUGGACAAUGGAAGGGAAGCGUCUGUGGGGAGUGAGCGCUUAGAUGGCCGGCAGCUGCUCCUUCUGGGAAGCUCAUGCCUUGGCAACAGAACAGCUUUCUAGCAAAGCGUCAGUGCAGUCGUGUUCUCCCGGCUUUUACAGAAUAUUCUUGCCCUAUUUUAGAAUUUUCCAGAGUAGUUUAUUUGCAGUCCGUUGAUUAUGUGCAUUAGACCCGGGACACUGCGUUUUACCAAUAGCCUUGAAGGUGGUGCCUGGAUGUGCCUUUUUUUUUCCCUGAAAUUAUUAUUAAUUUUCUAUUGUGAGUUCAUCAGUUCAUAGUUUUUUUAGUAAAGAAGCAAAAUUAAAAGGCUUUUAAAAAUGU